CUAUACUUAAGCUUGGAAUGCUGGUAUGUUUAUAGAGGACAUACUCAUCCUAUGUUGGUAGGUUUAUAGAGGACAUACGCAUCCUAUGUUGGUAAGUUUAUAGAGAAGAUACGCAUCCUUUGUUGAUAGGUUUAUAGAAAAUAUACUCAUUCUAUGUUGGUAGGUUUAUAGAGGACAUACUCAUCCUAUGUUAGUAGGUUUAUAGAGGAUAUACUCAUCCGAGGUUUGUAGGUUUAUAGAAGACAUACGCAUCCUAUGUUGGUAGGUUUAUAGAGGACAUAUUCAUCCUUUGUUGGUAGGUUUAUAGAGGACAUAUUCAUCCUUUGUUGGUAGGUUUAUAGGGGACAUACACAUCAUGUGUGGGUAAAUUUAUAGAGGACAUACUCAUCCUUUAUUGGUAGGUUUUUAUAGGACAUAUUCAUCGUUUUUUGUUGGUAGGUUUAUGGAGGAUAUACUCACACUAUGUUGGUAGGUUUAUAGAAGACAUACUCAUCCUUUGUUGGUAUGUUUAUAGAGGACAUACUCAUCCUAUGUUGGUUGGUUUAUAGAAGACAUACUCAUUCUUUGUUGGUAGGUUUAUAGAGGACAUACUCAUCCUUUGUUGGUAGGUUUAUAGAGGACAUACUCAUCCUAUGUUGGUAGGU